UUUCCGCGCUUCCGGUCUUGCGCAAGAUGCUCACCGGGUUCCCGUGGAGGCUGCGGCGGGGAGGCGGAGCGUGGCCUCCGAUUGGGUGAGGAGGGGGCGGAGCUCGCGAACACCACUCUUUUGCCUAGUGGGGGCUGCCGAGCCCAAGCUGCUGACUGUCCUGUGCUGGCGGAGCAGCAGUCGUCCCUGGGUGGACAUCUGUCUGGCCGGCUACGGUGGGAAGGGGCGCGUGGGCUUAGCGGUAGGGUGACGCUCCCACUCCCACUCCUACUCCCUGACGUUUAGGGACCAACUCAAAGCUGUGCAGAUUGGAUAAUUAUGUAAGAGUGCUUAUCACCACAGCGCCCCGAGCUGGGUGUUUUCCGCGCUUCUGGGGAAGGGCACUUUCGGGGCGCGUGUUAGCGCUUCGCAGAGCGGCCCCAAGAAUGCUCGAGUGCUCAGCACCCUCUGCCUCGUUCUCUUGAAGAAUCAGCACCGUGCGCUCUGAACUGCGGUUUCUUCCCGGCAUUGGGCAGGCGACAGGGUGUGAGGGUGCUGGGGCGGCUGCAGUGCUGUGGACAGAACCGGGAAGGAGGGAGGGUCUGGUGCGAGAGGCGGACGCCCAGCCGCUCUCAGCAAUGCCAGCCCGGCCUGGGGACCCACGGCGCCUCUGCAAGCUCGUGCAGGAGGGUCGGCUGCAGGCCCUGCAGGAGGAGUUGCGGGUGGCUGGAAGCUGCCAGGGGCCGGCCGGGGACACCCUCCUGCACUGUGCCGCCCGCCACGGGCGUCUGGACAUCCUGACCUAUCUGGCCGAGGCGUGGGGCAUGGACAUCGAAGCCGCUAACCAGGACUACAAGCGGCCUCUGCACGAGGCUGCCUCCAUGGGCCACCGGAACUGCGUGCACUACCUGCUGGGCCGAGGGGCAGCGGUCGACUGUUUGAAGAAGGCCGACUGGACUCCUCUGAUGAUGGCUUGCACAAGGAAGAAUCUUGAGGUGAUCCAGGACCUUGUGGAACACGGUGCCAAUCCACUUCUGAAGAACAAAGAUGGCUGGAACAGUUUCCACAUUGCCAGUCGAGCAGGCGACCCUGUGAUCCUCCAGUACUUGCUCACUGUUUGCCCAGAUGCUUGGAAGACAGAGAGCAAAAUUAGAAGAACUCCUCUGCAUACCGCAGCAAUGCAUGGCUGUCUUGAAGCAGUAAAAGUGCUUCUUAAGAGAUGCCAGUAUGAACCAAAUAGCAGAGACAACUGUGGCAUUACCCCCUUUAUGGAUGCAAUUCAGUGUGGUCACAUCGAUAUAGCCAAGCUGCUCCUUGAAAAACAUGAGGCUUGCUUUUCAGCUGAGGAUAGCCUGGGACUCCAGGCUCUGCACAGAGCAGCAAUCACUGGGCAAAAUGAAGCCAUUCGAUUCUUGGUGUCUGAUCUUGGUAUGGAUGUGGAUGUGAGAGCAGCAUCAACCCACCUCACAGCACUUCAUUACGCGGCUAAGGAAGGACAUAUUAGCACAAUUCAGACUCUCUUAUCCUUGGGUGCUGACAUCAACUCUAGAGAUGAAAGAAAUCGAUCAGCCCUGCAUUUGGCCUGUGCAGGUCAGCACUUGGCUUGUGCUGAGUUUCUCCUACAGUCGGGGCUGAAGGAUUCUGCAGACAUUACAGGCACCCUGGCUCAGCAGCUCAGCGAGAGAGUGGAUAUGCCUCAGGGCUUUGACCGCAGUGCAACGACUUGAGCAUGUUUCUGAAAGCAGGCCAGGAAGUACAUGGCUGGGAGCACUUUUCGGCCCUGGACUGUGACUUUUAUCCUCACAUCCUCAGCGUGUAGCACACAGCAUAGCACGUUCUGAGUGUUGGUGAUCAGAGAAGGCUUCCUGGAAGAAAUGACCAACUUGAGUCCUAACACAUGGCUAGGAAUUGCCCAGAGGAAAACAGGUCAGUCAGCUACCCGGAGGCAAGGGGGUCACAUCGGACGGUUUCCAUCAUGGCUAAGGCAGUAUUUGCUGCUUACUGGAACAUUUUUUCUAGGGAAAGCCUUACUUUGCUUGGCCUAACGCUUCUGCCAAAACUAUCUGCGGGCUUCGCAGCCAAAGUUUGCGAUGGCCCCUCUCACCGAAGCAGCUGGAACGGGGCGGAACCAGCCAGGUGGCCAGUCCUUGCAGGGCUGGCACGGGGUUCCCCAGAAGGCGCCUCUGCUCUGAAUCAGCUGACUCAACAUAGAGCACGGGUUCUGCAUCAGCCGGUGUACUCUCAGGGCCCGGAAUCCAGGCGUGGAAGUGGGGACAGCAUGACUCCCUCUCACCCGCUGGCACCCAGUCAGCACAAAGUUCCCUGUUCUUGCCACAGGAGGCUUCUUAACCACUAUGUCUAAUGCCUGCCCCCCUGUGGCUUCUUGCCUGCAGCAGGGCACGAUCUGGGUCACUCAGUACAGAAGUGAACGCCGCACUGUAGCAGAACAGCGGGCCCAGGAUUUCCCCGCUGCUCGAUGGGAUGCUUCACCCACAGUGGCAUCUCCCUCUGAACCUUCCUGGACUGUGUCAUUGGCCAUCGACAUGUUCUCUUCCAUGCCGGGUGCCCAGGGUGGGUCUCUGGGAGGGGUGGAGGCUAAUGGCUCAGCAGAGAGAGAGCAGGGAAAGGCAGUAUAGAGAGAUGCACUCUGAAAGCAGCCAGAAUGAUGACCUUUAAGAUCCUGACACCCACAGGUAUUUUCUCCAGGUUGCGGAUGUAUGAUGCAGUUGAUAAAAUGGCAAGGGUCAGAUGCCCAUGUGAGUGCCCACCCUGGGGCUCAGACUGUGUGGCUUCAUUCACUCAGUAUCUUUACUGUUCCCACUCUUCAAGAGGUUACACCUGCCCUUGGUCCCCAGAGGGCACCUGGAGGCUGUCUGGGCAGCCUGCUGUGUAUUCAGGUAGUGAGCAGUUUCCAGGGCCCAGGCAGAUGGCUGGGGUUGCGACAUAACAUUGAUGGAGCAGGCUGGCUGGGCAGGUGGCCCCGUACAGUGUCUGCAGUGGCACGGGGCUUCAUAGAAUGUAGAGCAACAUGGUGGCUUAGAGGCUGUGGGACAGCCCCUGCUCGUUUGUCCAGCCUCCUUCUCCAUCUGUGGUCUACCAGCUGGUGUACCAACUCUUCUUGUCUCAUCCCCUUGACCACACUGAGCUUUCAAUGCCUCAGGGCCUUUGUGAUCACUUUGCCCUGCUUUGUGUGACCCUACCCCAUUCUUUGCCUCGUGAUUUAGGCCACAGAACCGGCCCUGCAAUUAUUGUUUCUUGGUUGGAUUUUUGUAGCAGUCUCCUAACACGCUGUGCUGCUUUCACCCCAUCGGCCUACAGUUUAAAAGGGCACCUCAAAAACAUGGAAAAUGGAAUUGAAAGAUAAGUGUUUGGGGAUGGUGUUUGACAUAGUGUUUAAGAUGCCACUUGGCGCAUUCUAUAUUUCCCAUGAACUUUUUGAAGUAUUUUCAGGUUUUCUACCCAGCAUCCACAGUGACCUUUUUCCUAGGUAGCCCCUUGUUCUGACCCUCUAGUAGCUCAUCUUACAGUCAAGCCCCUCCCCUCACUGUUCUCCAACUUUUACUGUCCCCUCUGCUCGCUCUCCUCAGCCCACACCAGCCCCCUGAUUGUUUGCACAUUUCAGAUGCCUUGAGAUUCUGCCGUUCCUCUUCACUUUUCUCUGAAAACUUUCCCCAGGAUACUACAUGGCAGUUCCUGCAUUUCUCUGGUGUCUGUGUCCAUCUGUCCCUUCUCAGUAAGGCCUUCCUAGACCACCUGUGAUUGUGAUUUACAAUAAGAACCAUAGCUGUUGAUCUUUGUGCCCAGUUUUCUGGCACAGAGCUCCUGCCUAGCACUCCUGUUGAUUGGGAAACAAGGAUUUUAGGAGCACCACUCCCUUCCAUCUGACUCUAACUUCAUGUAGACAGUAUCAGAAGGUAGUUAAACUGUAGGACACCCUCCUAGUGUUGGAGAACUGGUCAAGGAGGGGAAAACUCCACAUACAUUUUGGUGAUCAAAGGUGAAGUAUUCUGUGUUGAGUGUGAAUAGAGAAGGGAAACCAGUUGGUUUUUCCUAUUGUACACACCCUAUUUAAAUUGCAAUAACUGCCAUAUCUGCUUUGGCAAUCCGAUCCUUCCCUGCUUAAUUUUUCUCCACGACUUUUAUCUUCUAGUCUGGUAUAUCAUUAACUUACUACAUGUUUUUUAAAAAAAAGAUUUAUUUAUUUAUGUGAAAGUCAGACUUACACAGAGAAGGAGAGGCAUAGAGGGACAGAGAGGUCUUCCAUCCACUGGUUCACUCCCCAGAUGGCUGCAACAGCUGGAACGGCACUGAUGCAAAGCCAGGAGCUUCUUCUGGUCUCCCAUGUGGAUGCAGGGGCCCAAGGACCUGGGCCAUCUUCUACUGCUUUCCCAGGUCACAGCAGAGAGCUGGAUUGGAAGUGGAGCAGCUGGGACUUGAACCAGUGCCCAUAUGGGAUGCUGGCACUGCAGGCAGCUGCUUUACCGGCUAUGCCAAAGCACCGGCCCUAACUUACCAAAUCUUUUGAAUGUUGUUUAUCUCCUCACUACCGUUAGAGUAGAAACUACAAAUCAGGAAGUUUUGUCUGUUUUGUUCAUUGAUGCCCAGCUCCUAGAAUGGUGCCCAGCACAUGGUAAACCUCAGUCAUCAUUUCAUGAAUAAAUUAAUGCUAAAGCAGUGGUAGGAGGUGGGAUAAUCAGGAUGGCUAUUUCAGCCUGAGAGAGUAGCAUGGAAAAGCACUGAGGGAGGAAGGAAUGUGAUGUGAUCACAAAAUGGAGAUUAAAUGGAUAUAGCUAGAAUGAGGAGCAGUAGGGAUGUCACCUGGAGGCAAGGGCUGGUUUGCCACACUAAGGUAUUGGAACUUUGGCCUGUAGGCAACAAGGUAUCAUUCAGAGGUUUCAAGCUGAGGCUGCCAUGAGUGGUGAAAUCUGAUUAUGUUAGAAAAGUAGAAAGGUCACUGUGGUCAGAGAUGUCAGUUUAGGGGUGAUGAAGCCAGCCACAAGGAAGUCACCUGGCUUUGAUUUCAGUAACACUGAUCCUCAACAGUGAGGAUGUGAAAUAAGACUAGUGGCCAUGGGGCCGGCGCUGUGGAGCAGCAGGUUAAAGCCCCAGCCUGCAGCGCUGCCCUCCUUUAUGAGUGCCAGUUCAAUUCUGGCUGCUCCACUUCUGAUCCAGCUCCCUGCUGAUAUGCCUGGGAAAGCAGUGGAGGAUGUCCCAAGUCCUUGGGCCCCUGCACCUACAUGGGAGACCUGGAAGAAUCUCUUGGCUCCUGGCUUUGGAUCGGCUCAGCUCCAGCGAUUACGGCCAUUUGGGGAAUGAACCAGCAGAUGGAAGAACUCUCUCUAUCUGUGUGUAUAAUUCUUUCAAAUAAAAUAAAUCUUAAAAAAAAAAAAAUUGGCCAAGGCACUCAAGAGGAAAGGGGUGGGUUGGAGAAGUAUCUAGAAUGAAAUCUUCAGGAUAUGGUAAACAAAUUAAUUGUGAUAUGUGUGAAGCAGAGCAGGAGUCAAGGACUACAACCAGUUCUAGCUUGGGUGGAUUGACAGAUGGUGGUGCUGUUCACUGAACACAGAGGUAAAGCAGUCAUACAACCUCACACUCAGCUUCCUGAUACUGGACUGCAAAGCCCUGUAAUGAUGGGGCACAAAGCCCAAGGCAUUCAUCUGUGUUCACCACACGUGCUAACCCCCCUGGUGGCAGGAAAUCUAACCUGAGUGUUGUUAGUCAGUAGCCUCCCUUCUAUUACCAAAGAGCAGGCUGUCAUAUAAACAUCGCUUUAAUUUGUUAGACAGGAAUUUGUGGUUUCUUACCACAUCUAACUACUCCAUGCAGCAACCACAGCAGGAAAUUAUGCAUGGAUUUCCCUAAAGAGAAGUUCAGAUUUGCCUAAGUUUAUAAAGGCACAGGCAGCAGGGUUCAUCACUGCCAUCAUCCACAGUGACAACAAAUCCUUAUGCAAAAAAGCACAGUGCUAGAUACCAAAUUAAGCUUGUGUCCCUGGUUUGCACCUGCAUGCCCUAGCCUUCAUAAGAAGAUCUUUUCUCUGAAUUGAAUGGUGAGGGGAGUAGUGAAGAAACUGCUUGGGCAACCAGCCUGGUCAACCAUGGAGUCAAUGGUCACCUGUAGCCAGGUGCCCUUUACCACUCAAUUCCUCCUUUCUCAAGAUCUCUUCCAGGCUGGCACUAGAUGGAAUUAUGGGACAGGUUGCCAGAUGUGGAGCUCAGGAACAGCAGCCAAGAAGAGAGCCGGAAGCAUCUUUCACCAGUCAGCUGGAUUAAGCCAAAUGGGUAACAAUUGGCAGUUGGGUCUUAAGCAAAGGAACUGUAGCAGAUUUGAGUCCCAGCUGGUCCACUUCCCAUCCAGCUCCUUGCUAACGUGCCUGGCAAAGCAGCUAAAGAUGGCCCAUGUGCUUGAACCCCUGCCACCCAUGCGGGAGACCUGGAUGGAGUUCUUGGCUCCUGGCUUCUGCCUGGGCCAGCCCUGCUACAUUGUUGCAGCCAGUUGUGGAAUGAACUAGCAGAUGGAAGAUCUCAAUCUCUCUUUGUGUGUGUGUCUCCUCCUCUCUUUGUAACUCUGCCUUUCAGAUAAAUAAAUAAAUCUUUAAAAAAGGAAAAAAGAUUCCUGAGGGUCUGGAAAGUAAAAAAGAAUCUAUAGAUAUGGGCAAAAUUGUUAACACAGUUUACUUGAACAAGCAACUUACACAGCAAUGGCCCUAUAUUUUAUGGAAUGGCAGUGGCAGGGAGCAGCAAUACUGGGGGAUAGGAUUUAAACACAUGCACUGUAGGAAGUAGAAUAUCUCCACUCAUUCAUUUAAAAAGCAUCUAUUAAGUAUCUACAUGCACAUGAACUAAUAGGCAGCAAUACAGGUUUGUUACCUGAAUGAAUAAACAGGUAAUUACAGUUUGGUGCAUUUAGAGGUGGCUUUUAAUACAUAUAUAAACUUCUAAUGAAGUGUUUUACUUAGAGGAAUGACAUGUGUAUAAUUUUUAAAUGAUGGUGUUAAAGAUGGCAGCUUGGAGUUAAGCAUAUCUGAGUACCUUUUGAUGCUAAGAGUAAUAGCCCAUAAUUUUGAAGUGGCUAAAUCUCUUGGCCAUCAGUUGGCCCUACUAUGAAUUUUAGUGAGUGAAUGAAUCAAGUCAGGAGGCCUAUAUUCAUGACGAACAUUUUAAAAUGAUAAAUAGGGAGCCGGCAUUGAGGUGUAGUGGGUAAAGCUACUGCCUAAACCACCAGCAAUUCAUAAGGGUACCGGUUGGUGUCUUGGCUGCUCCACUCUGAUCCAGCUCACGGAUAAUGUGCCUGGGAAGAUGUCCCAAGUGUUUGGGACCCUGCUAUCCACGUGGGAGACCAGAUGGAACUCCUGGCUCCUGGCUUUGGCCUGGUCCAGCCCUGGCUGUUGUGGCCAUCUGGGGAGUGAACCAGUGGAUGGAAGAGUCCAUUGUGAAACAUAUAACCUGAUAUACUUACACGGAUUGAGGUGCAGUGAAAUUGAUUGUCUCAUGAAGAUAACAACCUGCCAGGAUAUCUAGCCACUGCUACAAAAACUGAUGCAGCUGCCGCAGAGAUUGUCUUGCUGUCAAGGAAAAUACUCUCUAUCCAUCGCCUACUGUCAGACUGCUCUGCAAGGGAAAACGAAGACCAUCUGGCUGCUACCUUCCUGUGUCAUUGGCACAGAGACGUUGCACUUUGUAAGCAAAAGGGCCAGUUAUAAAAAAUGCCACUGGGAUGGGAGUUGUGGUGCAGCAGGUUAAGCUGCUGCUUCAGAUGCCAGUAUUCCAUAUCAGAGUGCUGGUUUGGAUGGAGUCCUGGUUGCUUCACUUCUGACCCAGUUUCCUGCUAAUGCACCUGGGAAGCAGUGGAUGAUGGUCCUAGUACUUGGAUCCCUACCACCUACAUGGGAAGUCCAGAUCUAGCUCCAGGCUUCUGGCUUCAACUUGGACCAACCUUGGAUAUUGUAGGAAUUUGGGGAAUGAACCAGUGCCUAGAAGAUUUCUCUCUGUUUCUCCCUCUUUCUAUGCCACUUUGUCUUUCAAAUAAAUAAACCUUUUAUAAAAUAAAUAAAACUAAAAAAAUGCCCUUUUGGAGUUUCUCUGGAAUAAGAAGACAUUCUUUUUUCAAUUCUGUUGCAAAGAAAGAUGUGAAACCCAUGCAAAGUGUUUCAUAUUAUGCAUCCUCCAUGAACUUUUUGAAGACCCAUGCAUGUAACCUUUGUGUAAGAAUGACUGCCAGUCUAGAGGUCAGUCUUAUGGCACUAGAAGGGCAGCACAUCUUCUCCAGUCACUAAGGCUGAACCUCAGCAAAGGUGAAACAGGUGGGUUUGGACCCUUUCUCCCAAAGCAGCCAGCAGGCAUCGCCUGUCCCUGGCCUGGGAUUUGUGUUGCUGGGCUGUGUGGCUGGGGAACGUGCACCAGUACUCGGGGUUUUGUUCUCCUGGUUGAACAGUUCUUAGCACUCUUGGCCCUCGGGGAAAUUCAGGACAAGCUCUUUCUGUGUCUUGAGGGCUGGCCUGACUGGCAAGAGUGCCUGGCCAGAGAAGGACAAGUUGCGGUCAUCUGUCCAUUCAUGUGCCAGUGUUCUGUACUCAGCAACAGUUGUUCUAAGGAUGGCACAGAGGAGGAUUCAGGGAUUUAUGAACUUCUGAAUGGCUGCCCUCUAAGGACAUCUGGAGUCCCAUAUGCUCCAACUUAACCCCGAAUUGCAGCUUGCUUUAUUUUUAUUACCAAGGAUAUUCUGUAUAUUUUUUUAAAUAAUCAUCAUCUAAGUCCAAAUUUACAAUUUUUUGAUGACCUUCCAGAAUUCAUUAAUGAAUAAAACAACAGCUAGGAACAUCAUGUUAACUGUCGCUCCCCCUCUUCGUGGAGGAACGACACAGGACCCUGCGCUGUUCUUUCGUCUGCUCGGCCCUCCCCGGGUUUGCUGCUGGUUCUUCCCGGGUUGGCUACUAUCCCUUCCACCUCCGUGGAAGGGCAGUUCCCCCUGGCCACAUUCCCCACUUCCGCAGGGGAGCGGCACACCGCCGGCCGGCUCUUCUCGGGGGCUGCACAGGUGUUCCUUCAGCUAGAUGUUCCCCUUAGAUGUUCCCCAUAGAUGUUCCUGGUGCAUGCCGUCUCUCUCCUCCUUUAUAGUCCUCCUCUGCCAAUCCUAACUCGGCUGCCCACACGCCGAGUACGCUGCUCUCCUCCAAUCAGGAGCAAGUCCUACAGUUUAUUGGCUGAACUGGAGGCAGCUGUGCAGAAGCUGUUUACUUCUCUCCCAGCGCCAUAUUGUGGGAGAGCAGAUGCAUAGAAUAAGUCUUAAUUCCAGUAACUCAGUCCAGUCCUAGCUGCUCCCCACAGUUAACCAUUUAAAUAUACUAGAAUCUGCUCAUGUUCCUUAAGCCUCCCUCCAAAGUAAGCCUGGGAUUUGGCAUAUGACAGGGAAAUAUUUAGACAGUAGAGCAAACCAAGAUCCUAGGAGUGUGAAACAACCUGAUUAUUGGGACCCCUUGGAGAAUGGUGCUGGGGACAAGCCCUUCUAAAGAACCAUCCUUGUAUCAUGAUAGCCUUUUCCUAGGUCUCCUUCUGUGUGACUGAGAAAGGCAAUAAUUUCCCAAAGCAAGUUGCUGCAUAUUGUUAGAGUGAAAAAGGUGAAAUAAACAUGGAAAAUAAAAGAAGCAUAACAUCACUUAUUUAAUCUACUUUCGUUCAACAGAUACUCAUUGGGUAUCUAGUAUGUGACAGAGACACAAACAAAACUUUAGAGAAACUUGUAAUUUUAAUAUUCUUUGUCUAAUUAAAAAGGUAAAAACAAGGAUAUAUGUUUAGUCUAAUAAUGUAGAUGCUGAUUGAAAUGCCUAUAUCACAUGUCAGAGUGCCUGGGUUCAAAUCCUGGCUCUACUUCAGAUUCCAGUGUGUACCCUGGGAAGCAGCAGGUGAUGGCUCAAGUUCUUGGAUAUUUGCCACUGACGUGGGAGAGCCAAACUGAGUUCUGGGCUCUGGCAUUAGCUUGGCCCAGUUCCAGCGAUUGCAGGCAUUUGGGGAGUGAACCAGCAGAUAGGAAAUCUCUCUCAUCUGUCUCUGGUUUUCAAAUAAAUGAAAAUCAAUUACAUUUUCAAAAACAGGGACUGGUGUUGUGGCAUAGCAGGUAAAGCCAUUGUAGUGCCAGCAUCCAAAGUUGACACUGGCUGUUCCACUUCUGAUCCAGCUCCUUGCUAUGGCCUGGGAAAGCAGUGAAAGAUGGCCCAACAGCUUGGGCCCCUGCGCUUGCAUGGGAGAACCUGGAAGAAGCUCCUGGCUCCUUGCCUAGCUCCAGCCGUUGCGGCCAUUUGAGGAGUGAACCAGGGGAUGGAAGACCUCCCUCUGUCCCGCCCUCUUUGUCUCUAAUCCUGCCUUUCAAAUAAAUAAAUAUUUUUUAAAAAUUUAAAA